CGCAGAUGGAGAAGCGCGCGGGAGGGUGCGAGCGGCGGGGAGGGGCGCAGGCUAGGGAGAGACAAACGGAAAAGGAGGGAAGGAGAUCAAAGAGACAAAGAGAGGAAAACAUGAGAAAGGGAGGCUGAGAAAGGGAAAAAGAGCCAGGAGAGUCCAGAGAAAGGAAACCAAGGGAGAGGGAGAGACUGAAGAGAGGAAUGGAAAAGACUGAAAAAGAUAGCAAGGGGUGGAUUAGGAAACAGAGAAGGGGAAAUAAAAGGAGGGGAGAAAAUGAAUCCAAAGAGGAUGCUAAAAAGGAGGAAAGAGAGAGGUCUGGUAGAGAGGCAGACUCGUGAAAGGAACGUGGGCGAGGGAGUGCUCCAUGUGUCCUGAGCCCUCUCUGUGCCCUGAGCCACAGGGGUGUGCCUCUAGAAUGACUCCUUGACCCCCUCCUCCCCACCCUUAUCCCUGCUGCCUGCUCCCAGUGGACUGCAGGAUGCAGCCCUCAGCCUCACCCUGCUGACCUCUGGCUCCUGCUUAGCUCAGGAACUGUGGACUCAGAACAAAGUUUGAGGUUCUGCUUCUCCGAUUCACCCCUUUCUCCUUCCUGAUUACUGGCAUGGAGCCAGGCACUGCAGGACGGAAAUCAGUGCCAACAAGUAGCUCUGGGAACAGAUUUGAUUUCCUACUGUCACCCUGGGGAGACAGCCCCUGUCUCCUAAGCACCCUGUGUGGAAACCAAGACUUUAUGGAUAGUACUGAAUAUGUGUUUCCAAUGAGAAGUAACAGCUGCAAACUCAUUUGGAUGAUUAAGAUGGCUCAGAUCAGCAACCUUGAGCAAGAUCCAGAAAAUAAAAAAAUCUGUCAGCACUACUACAGGAGGUUGCCAGAACAGGAAGUUGCCAGACAGAGGGGAAGUGCCAGCAGCCAGGGUCCUCUGGCCCAGGUGCAUCUGAAGCGUCCAGGUGAGAACAGAACUGCCAGAUGGAAGACACAUGGUGACGGCUGGGAGGGCCAAGGGCUUUGCACCUUGUCCAGGGGUAGGAAAAAUGCAGUCUGCUGAAGUGUGAACCAGAUGGAAAUGUAUUCUCACAUUUCUCUUCCUUCUUCUGAGACAUGGUGGACCUUGGAUUCCCAUACAGGUUUCUCCAUAGCAGGGUAGGAAUUUGUCCCACAUGCAGGGAUGAGCCAGCCCCAGGAAGAGCAGUGGGCUGGACCAGAGCUGCUUCAAGCUGAUGGCAUGGCAUUGAGAUGUUUGUCCUAAUCUGUAAAACCUAUUUUCCCGCUCAAGGUGGUACCAUGUUGCAGCUUGUCUAUACAGACUUUCUAAAUAAGACUUGGGAAGUUU